rnacentral:rRNA from 1 species
GAUUAACGCUAGCGGCAGGCAUAAUACAUGCAAGUUGAACGGCAGCACAGGUAGCAAUACUGGGUGGCGAGUGGCGCACGGGUGCGUAACACGUAUGCAACCUACCCUAUACAGGCGAAUAACCUUUAGAAAUGAGGGCUAAUACGCCGUAGUAUUACAGAUGAGCAUCUAUUUGUAAUUAAAGAUUUAUCGGUAUAGGAUGGGCAUGCGUCCCAUUAGUUAGUUGGUAAGGUAACGGCUUACCAAGACGAUGAUGGGUAGGGGAUCUGAGAGGACUUACCCCCACACUGGUACUGAGACACGGACCAGACUCCUACGGGAGGCAGCAGUAAGGAAUAUUGGGCAAUGGCCGCGAGGCUGACCCAGCCAUGCCGCGUGCAGGAAGACGGCCUUAUGGGUUGUAAACUGCUUUUAUACGGGAAUAAUAGAGUGUACGCGUACAUUUAUGCAAGUAUCGUAUGAAUAAGCAUCGGCUAACUCCGUG